UACGUAGGGGGCGAGCGUUAUCCGGAUUUAUUGGGUGUAAAGGGUGCGUAGACGGGAAUGCAAGUUAGUUGUGAAAUCCCUCGGCUUAACUGAGGAACUGCAACUAAAACUGUAUUUCUUGAGUGCAGGAGAGGAAAGUGGAAUUCCUAGUGUAGCGGUGAAAUGCGUAGAUAUUAGGAGGAACACCAGUGGCGAAGGCGACUUUCUGGACUGUAACUGACGUUGAGGCACGAAAGUGUGGGGAGCAAACAGG
rnacentral:misc_RNA from 1 species